AGAAAGAUAAGAUUUUACUGUUUUAGAAUAGGGAUGGGAUAUUUCUGCAAAGUUUUAUAAAAUGGUUUCAACACUGUCUUGUUUAAAGUUUUCUAAAACUGGACUAGAUGUCGAACCGAUUUUUCCUGGUUCGUGGUUAACCGGUUCAACUUUGAAUUCAUGGCAAUGUUCAGAAAAUGCCAUGAUUAAGUUUAGAAACUGAGAAAAUAGCCAGGGAAACAUCAGAAACAUCAGCUAGUGGUCACAAUUUGAGUGAGUGUGCUCAUCUUCAUUUGCAGAAAUAAUCAGCAAAUGAUGUGAUACAAGUAUACUUAAGAUCACGCUUCUAAAUUAUGAGUGCAAG
rnacentral:misc_RNA from 1 species